rnacentral:rRNA from 1 species
GACGAACGCUGGCGGCGUGCUUAACACAUGCAAGUCGAACGGUGAAGCGAGUCCUUUCACUCGUGGAUCAGUGGCGAACGGGUGAGUAACACGUGAGUAACCUGCCCAUCACUCUGGGAUAAGCACUGGAAACGGUGUCUAAUACUGGAUACGACCAACCCUUGCAUGGGGUGUUGGUGGAAAGAUUUAGCGGUGGUGGAUGGACUCGCGGCCUAUCAGCUUGUUGGCGGGGUAAUGGCCCACCAAGGCUACGACGGGUAGCCGGCCUGAGAGGGUGACCGGCCACACUGGGACUGAGACACGGCCCAGACUCCUACGGGAGGCAGCAGUGGGGAAUAUUGCACAAUGGGCGGAAGCCUGAUGCAGCGACGCCGCGUGAGGGAUGACGGCCUUCGGGUUGUAAACCGCUUUCAGCAGGGAAGAAGCGAAAGUGACGGUACCUGGAGAAGAAGCACCGGCUAACUACGUG